GUCGAUUUAGUGUAUUUAGCAUAAUAAUUUUUCGUGUUAUAGGUCUUCUUUAUAGAGGUUUCGAUA
rnacentral:tRNA from 1 species